GGACUGAGACACUGCCCAGACUCCUACGGGAAGCUGCAGUCGAGGAUCAUUCGCAAUGCGCGAAAGCGUGACGAUGCGACGCUGCGUGGAGGAUGAAGGCCUUCGGGUCGUAAACUCCUGUCAUGAGGGAACAGCCGGCGAUGGGGUAAUACCCCAUGGCUCCGAUGGUACCUCAAGAGGAAGCCACGGCUAACUCUGUGCCAGCAGCCGCGGUAAUACAGAGGUGGCGAGCGUUGUUCGGAUUUACUGGGCGUAAAGGGUGCGUAGGUGGUAUCGUAUGUCGGAUGUGAAAUCCCAUGGCUCAACCAUGGAAUUGCAUUCGAAACUGCGGAACUAGAGUGCAGGAUGGGAGAGCGGAAUUCUUGGUGUAGCGGUGAAAUGCGUUGAUAUCAAGAAGAACACCGGUGGCGAAGGCGGCUCUCUGGAAUGUUACUGACACUGAGGCACGAAAGCUGGGGGAGCAAACAGGAUUAGAUACCCUGGUAGUCCCAGCCGUAAACGGUGCACACUUGGUGUGGGGAGAUUUAACCCUCUCCGUGCCGGAGUUAACGCGUUAAGUGUGCCGCCUGGGGAGUACGGCCGCAAGGCUAAAACUCAAAGAAAUUGACGGGGGCCCGCACAAGCGGAGGAGCAUGUGGCUUAAUUCGAUGCAACGCGAAGAACCUUACCAGGGCUUGACAUAUACCUGCACGCCCCUCGAAAGGGGGGAAGCCUUUGAGGGUGGUAUACAGGUGCUGCAUGGCUGUCGUCAGUUCGUGCUGUGAGGUGUUGGGUUAAGUCCCGUAACGAACGCAACCCUUGUGGUUAGUUGCCACCGGCGGUGAUGAGCCGUCGAGCACUCUAGCCAGACUGCCCGUACAAGCGGGAGGAAGGUGGGGAUGACGUCAAGUCAGUAUGGCCCUUACGCCCUGGGCUGCACACGUGCUACAAUGGACGGUACAAUGGGCUGCAAUACCGCGAGGUGGAGCAAAUCCCCAAAGCCGUCCCCAGUUCGGAUUGGAGUCUGCAACUCGACUCCAUGAAGUUGGAUUCGCUAGUAACGGCGCAUCAGCUACGGCGCCGUGAAUACGUUCCCGGGCCUUGUACACACCGCCCGUCACAUCAUGAAAGCCGUCUGCACCCGAAGUCGUUGAUCCAACCCGCAAGGGAGGAAGGCGCCGAAGGUGUGGGUGGUGAUUGGGAUGAAGUCGUAACAAGGUA
rnacentral:rRNA from 1 species